rnacentral:rRNA from 1 species
CGGAAUCUUGAAGGAUGUCUCGGAUCCUAUUUUCGUUGGUUUACGUACUUCAGUAAUGAUGAAUAGAAACGGUUAGGGGCAUUUGUAUUUGGUCGCUAGAGGUGAAAUUCUUGGAAUGA